AAAAGAAACUAACUAGGAUUCCCUUAGUAACGGCGAGUGAACCGGGAUGAGCUCAAAUUUAAAAUCUGGCGUCUUUCAGGCGUCCGAGUUGUAAUCUAUAGAGGCGUUUUCCGCGCCGGACCGCGUCCAAGUCUCUUGGAAUAGAGUAUCAAAGAGGGUGACAAUCCCGUACUUGACGCGACAACCGGUGCUCUGUGAUACGUUCUCAAUGAGUCGAGUUGUUUGGGAAUGCAGCUCUAAAUGGGUGGUAAAUUCCAUCUAAGGCUAAAUAUUGGCGAGAGACCGAUAGCGAACAAGUACCGUGAGGGAAAGAUGAAAAGCACUUUGGAAAGAGAGUUAAACAGCACGUGAAAUUGUUAAAAGGGAAACGAUUGAAGUCAGUCGUGUGAAAGGUAUUCAGCCGUCUCUGGCGGUGUAUUUGCCUUUCACGGGUCAACAUCAGUUUGAUCCGGUAGAAAAAGGCGGGAGGAAGGUGGCACCCUCGGGUGUGUUAUAGCCUCCUGUCAUAUGUGCCGGACCAGACUGAGGAACGCAGCUUGCCGCAAGGCCGGGGUUCGCCCACGU
rnacentral:rRNA from 1 species